UGUUUGAUCGGUCUAAAUCAAUAGUAACCGAGAGACGUGAUUUCAUGCACCACUUUCCUUUUAUAUAAAAGGUACAACAAAGAGAAUUAUUUAGCCUGUAAUGACUAUUGUGCACACUGAACGUCAACCUGUUACAGCAUUCAGUCGGGUUACAAGUUUGCAGGUGGCUGUUCGGUGAAGUUUGCAACAUCCAGGCUAAGAUUUUAAAAAGGUUAAGCCUGGUUGGCAACCGAGGAAUAGUAAGUAUCCUCUAACAGUAACCGUCACCUUAGACCACCGGUGUAGACACCCAUAGAAAAUAGCAACAAAAUGACGACAGUUCGUUCUGGGGUGAAAACCAGCACUCAUAAAUUACCCUGGGGAACGAUUUUGGUACCAGAAUUUGGUCUUGGUCAUCAAAAGAUAAAACAACAUCAAGUAGAAGACUGUGUGAAUCGCCUACACUACGCCAAGGAGGCGCCCGAACAAGUCACGGUGAGGAGGGACAUCAACCCUGACAGAGUCCUAGAUGCAGCUGGGAUAAAUGAAGCGGUUCUGCGUUUCACAACCGACUCACGCUGUAAGACACCUGAUAUAAAGCGGACGCAGGGACAUUCUAUGUACAAGGAAAUGGGUGUGGUCAACUCCUUUGCCUGGAAGGGCUAUAACUGACACAAUACAGAAAAAAUGUCUGGCUCAUGAAUUUUUGCUCAAUGAUAGCUUGUUGAUUUUUUAACAAUAAAUUUCAGUCGACGGAUCUACGCAUCGUAACGAUAAGAAAGUUUGAAUGACAUUGAUCUAUUUCAGUCUUAUAUAACUAUUUCUGAUUUGAAACUACAUAAAGAUGCUGAUUAGGAAUAAUAUUUGAUAGACCGAGUCAGUCAAUAGAAGGCCCGCUUAGAAAUUAAGCUCUGCCAAGGUUUGGCACCCUGAGCUUCAGAGCUAACUUGACACGAUGGAGAUAGGCUACAGUGAAAAGGUUAGUGUCAAGUUAGCUCUGAAGCUCAGGGUGAGGUUUGGUGGCCCUUGUUAAAAAUGGGGCCUACUAGCCAACCUCGGUCCUACCACAAUAAAGCAAGGACUUUUUUGUCUUCUCUCGUCAAAUUACCUCUACGCAAAUUUUUCUAGAACUAAAAGUUGCAAGGCCACGAUAGCUAUAGCAAAUAAAGUUUCAUUUGUUAUACUACUUAAUUUAUUUAUUGUUGUGGGCCUAUGCUGUCGAACCGUGCGGGAUAUGAAUUUUGAUCGCUGCAGCCUGCAAAAUAUAUUUUGAUCUGAGAUUUUUAUAUCUAUUUUGUUAUACGAUUUAAUUUUUAUU